CUCUGGCCAUGUGCCAACCCCAGGCUGUAUAUUAACUCGGCUCAGCUCAGUGUCGACGUGGCUAUUGCUGGGUACCUGCACACUCUGAACCCAGACCAGAGACAUCUCUACUACCAGCUACAGGGGCCAGGACCUGGAACGACCUCAAGCUAAUCUCAUGGAGCUGAUUGUGACAGAAACUGGUGGCGUCUGUCUCCCUGCUGUUCCUGCUUUUUCACCAGGAUGAACCUGCCUGUUUCUCCGCACCCCAAAACAUGACUUGUACAGAUAAUGGCGUCGCGUAUCCGCUGGGAGCAAAUUGGACAAAUCCCGACUGUAUGACAUGUUACUGCACACCCGGAAGGAUGGACUGCUGUUCCACGGUCCACAAGCCGGUAGGCUUCCCAGAGGACUGUGUUGCAGUUUUCCAUAAGGAUGAGUGUCGCUACCGUGUGCACAAGGUGGACGACAACUCAGUGGAAUGUGAAGUGCACAGCGGAGUCCUGCAAUGAAGCUGAUCAUCGUUUCAGUUUCUCAGUGGAGAGGGACAUCCCAACACCAGGGGGCAGCAUGGCCCUUCUGAAGAUAUUUGAUUGUCAAUAAACUCACUGCAU